UGGAUGGAUUCUAAAAUAAAAUGUGAUAGUAUAUGAAGCACUAACACAUCAGGUUUUUCCCCUUAAAAAAACAUAUACAGGUUUUUCAUUAUAGACACAAAAACUAAGAAUUGCAUGUUAUAUAUCUAGUUUGCUGAGUUUGUUAAUGAUUCAGUUCAUUUGCAGGGUCGAAUUGAUUCAUGUUUCAGUUUGUUACUCAUUCAUUCAUGUCCAUGACUCGCCUUCCAGUUCUAUUAUCGUGUGUUGGUGUUGGCUGCUCGCAACUGCUCUCAGAUAUGCAGGCUUUCAAGGUCAGGCUCUUGAUAUGGAAAUUGCUCAUGGUUUCUAAAAAUGAAGUUAUACGUUGUUUGAAGAGGGUGCUGUCAGAGGGAUAACUGUCAUGGAUCUUCUAAUCAUCAGGUUUAGGGGUCGGUGUUAAUAGGUGCUACAGAGGUCUCUUUCAAUUGAAAAGGGUUUUUGAGUGCAAUGGCUCUUAACGAAUCAAUCUCGUAAUGUUAUUAGCGAACACCUGUCUCACCAAUUAACGUAUUAGGAUCUGGUCUAGCUUUUUAUGGUGUUUUCCUAUUUUCCAGAAUGAAGAGAAUUAAGCCAAAGACAGCCUAAUGUUCAGGUGUAUUUAUUCAGAAUUACGUUGAUGCAAAUAUUAAGAUAUUAAGGGAUUUGGAAGAUAUUGUCAUACGAUUUUUGAUGCAAUUCUGCAAAUAUUAAGGAGUUUGGAAGAUAUCAUUAUGUUUUUACCAUACACCGUAUUAAACUCUUGAUGCAAUUAUGCAAAUAUUACGGAAUUUGAAAGAUAUCAUUAUGUUAUUACCAUAUGAGUAACCAAAAAAAAAAA